GUUUCAUUAGCUCAAUAGGUAGAGCAUAAUACUUCUAAUAUUUGUAUUCUAGUUCGAGUCUAGGAUGGAACU
rnacentral:tRNA from 1 species